AGCUUUUUUAAGCACUGCCACUCUGCUUAGAGCCUCCAAACCUGGCCGAGCCUGGCCGGAACACACCUUGCCUUACCCUGCAGCUUUUUUCCCUGCCCGGCUGUGACUUGCUGCCGGGCUGGAUUGUGGGUGGUUCCGGUUCCUGUUCCCGUCUGGCCAGGAGCAAAAGGGAAGGGUGCUUACCCUUUCCACCCCACAGGUUUCUGCAGGUUUUGGUUCCAGAAAUAAUUUCGGAGGGCUAGAGAAGGAAAGAGAAAGCAGAGCAAGAGCUUGGAGACAUUUCAGUACUGAAAGCACGUUUCCAGUUCUACUAAAGUAUGCAUGCAUAUACACAGUGAGGCUGCAAAGACACAGGGAUGACCUGCCUGCAGAUAGGAGCUGCCAACUCUAGGUCUCCUUUCUGCUGAGAGCUGCACUUAUUGGGACAACCUGCCUAUGGAAAGGAGCUAUCCGUUUAGGAUCUGAGAGCUGUACUGUUGCUCAAUAAAACAGCUCUUCACCUUGCUCUGCCUCCAUUUGUCUGCAUACCUCAUUCUUCCUGGAAGUAGGACAACAACUUGGCACCUGCCUAAUGGUGGGACUGAAAGAGCUGUAACAGAAACAGUAUUGAAACACCCCCCAUCGCUUGUCACGUUGUGGGUGAUGAGAAAGACAAAAGGAGAGAAGAGCUGCAGCCCUUCGGGAAGCCCAGACUUAAGAGCUCCCUGAGUCAAGGCUGUGACACUCUCUUUGGGGCUCUGUGGUUCUUAGCAUCUCCAAUCUCCCAGGUGCCACCGUGUUCCCUAAGUCCAGCAGUGGAAGCUGCUUUACAGCAGCGCCCCACUCUACUGAUACUAAUUUACUGUGUUAGUUCAUUUUCAUGCUGUUGAUGAAGACAUAUCUGAGACUGGGAAGAAAAAUAGGUUUAAUGGACUCACAGUUCCAUGUGGUGGGGAAGGUGGAAGGUGAAAUGCAUUUCUUACGUGGUGCUGGCAAGAAAGAACGAGAGAGAAGCAAAAGCGGAAACCCCCUAUAAAACUGUCAGAUCUUGUGAGACUUAUUCACUACCAUGAAAACCGUAUGGGG